AGCGAACGCUGGCGGCAGGCCUAACACAUGCAAGUCGAACGAACCUUUCGGGGUUAGUGGCGGACGGGUGAGUAACACGUGGGAACGUGCCUUUAGGUUCGGAAUAACUCAGGGAAACUUGUGCUAAUACCGAAUGUGCCCUUCGGGGGAAAGAUUUAUCGCCUUUAGAGCGGCCCGCGUCUGAUUAGCUAGUUGGUUGAGGUAAUGGCUCACCACGGCGACGAUCAGUAGCUGGUCUGAGAGGAUGAUCAGCCACAUUGGGACUGAGACACGGCCCAAACUCCUACGGGAGGCAGCAGUGGGGAAUAUUGCGCAAUGGGCGAAAGCCUGACGCAGCCAUGCCGCGUGAAUGAUGAAGGUCUUAGGAUUGUAAAAUUCUUUCACCGGGGACGAUAAUGACGGUACCCGGAGAAGAAGCCCCGGCUAACUUCGUG
rnacentral:rRNA from 1 species